rfam:Otolemur garnettii contig156962, whole genome shotgun sequence.
GUUGCUUUAGCGGCACAUAUACUAAAAUUGGAAUGAUACAAGAGAAGAUUAGCAUGACCCCUAUGCAAGGAUGACAGUAAAUUUGUGUAAUGUUCCAUAUUUAA